rnacentral:pre_miRNA from 1 species
ACGGGGCGUCUGCCCACUCUUUCCCCUGUUGCACUACUGUCCAACGUCACAGCUAGCAGUGCAAUAAUGAAAGGGCGUCAGCCGCUCC